CCUACGGGAGGCAGCAGUGAGGAAUAUUGGUCAAUGGGCGAGAGCCUGAACCAGCCAAGUCGCGUGAGGGAGUACUGCCCUAUGGGUUGUAAACCUCUUUUGUCGGGGAGCAAAAGCCGGACGUGUCCGGCUGUGAGAGUACCCGAAGAAAAAGCAUCGGCAAACUCCGUGCCAGCAGCCGCGGUAAUACGGAGGAUGCGAGCGUUAUCCGGAUUUAUUGGGGUUAAAGGGUGCGCAGGCGGAUUUUUAAGUCAGCGGUCAAAUCGUGGGGCUCAACCCCAUCCAGCCGUUGAAACUGGGGAUCUAGAGUGUGCGAGAGGUAUGCGGAAUGCGUGGUGUAGCGGUGAAAUGCAUAGAUAUCACGCAGAACCCCGAUUGCGAAGGCAGCAUACCGGUGCAAAACUGACGCUCAGGCACGAAAGCGUGGGUAUCGAACAGGAUUAGAUACCCUGGUAGUC
rnacentral:rRNA from 1 species